rnacentral:rRNA from 1 species
GACGAACGCUGGCGGCGUGCUUAACACAUGCAAGUCGAACGGUGAAGGGGCCUGCUUUUGUGGGCCCUGGAUGAGUGGCGAACGGGUGAGUAACACGUGAGUAACCUGCCCCCUUCUUCUGGAUAACCGCAUGAAAGUGUGGCUAAUACGGGAUAUUCUGGGUCUGUCGCAUGAUGGGUCUGGGAAAGAUUGCGCCUUUGGGUGUUUUUGGUGGGGGAUGGGCUCGCGGCCUAUCAGCUUGUUGGUGGGGUGAUGGCCUACCAAGGCGGUGACGGGUAGCGGGCAGGAGAGGGGGGGCCGUGACAGGGGGACCGGGAAACUGCCCAGACUGCUACGGGAGGGAGCAGUGGGGAAGAUUGCAGAAUGGGCGCAAGCCUGAUGCAGCGACGCCGGGUGAGGGAUGGCGGCCUUCGGGUUGUAAACCUCUUUCGCCAGUGAAGCAGGCCUGCUCCUUGUGGGUGGGUUGACGGUAGCUGGAUAAGAAGCGCCGGCUAACUACGUG